GGUGGUGCAUUAACGAAUUGGAUUGCAACAUCUGUCUCCCCACCGCAUGCAUCUUCGUCGACUCGAUCUCUGCAAAUGUAUCGACUUCAACGUCUGCACGAAAUAGCAGUACAGUUUUCUAUAUGAGAGAAAAAACGUCUGAGAGAAGCUGGCUGUUGCAGUCGUGGUGGUUGUUGGAAGAUUUUCUUGUCUAAGCGUGAGAGAGUGAGAGAUUGUCCUCGAGGUCUUCGAGGUCCUGCUCAGAUUUCUCAUCGAUCCUAAACCCUUUUGUUAAAGCUUUUCCCAGCUUUAACAAAAGACUUCUGUGCAGGCUGUUUGCAUGUGUGAGUGCCAUCAUUCCCUGCAUGUGCUCUGUAACGUUGAUCAAAUUCCUCAAUUUCUAUGGUGUAUAAAUAAGCCUUCCUGUAAGGCUUUAGAACAAGUACCCAGUUUCCCUUCCAACUCCUUCAAGUCACGGAGUGUAUGGGUUGUCUUCACCACCCAUUUCAGUUUCAAGUUGACGCGAAGCAUGCAGGUUCUGCGGUUGCUGCUGUCGUAGCUGUAUUGCUUGCGAAGGUUGGUUUUUUUUAGGAAGGAAAGCCUUGCAAGCUCCCGCUGCUGCCAUUGACAACACUUGGAUGUGGUCUCUGCUGCUGAUUUUGUAAAUGCUUCUGGGACGACGAAGAACCACUUGAAAUAGUAGUGUUUGGAUGACCUUAUUGACUUUGCUGUGAUUGAGACGGCAGUGGUUGUUGUUGCUGUUGGUGGAAAUCGGGGAAAAGGGAAAGCUAGCAAACUCCUUUGUGAAGCCCUUUACGUGGUGAGCCUUUGCAUGAUUUUGACAUG
rnacentral:lncRNA from 1 species